rnacentral:rRNA from 1 species
AGAGUUUGAUCCUGGCUCAGGAUGAACGCUAGCGACAGGCCUAACACAUGCAAGUCGAGGGGCAGCGGGGGAGGUAGCAAUACCUUUGCGGCGACCGGCGCACGGUGAGUAACACGUAUGCAAUCCACCUGUAACAGGGGGGAUAACCCGGAGAAAUCCGGACUAAUACCCCAUAAUACUGGGCGCUCCGCAUGGAGAGUUCA